UACGAAGGGGGCUAGUGUUGUUCGGAAUUACUGGGCGUAAAGCGCGCGUAGGCGGGUCGGUAAGUCAGAGGUGAAAUGCAGGGGCUCAGCCUCGGAACUGCCUUUGAUACUGGCGGCCUGGAGUUCGGGAGAGGUGAGUGGAAUUCGGAGUGUAGGGGUGAAAUUCGUAGAUAUUCGGAGGAACACCAGAAGCGAAGGCGUCUCACUGGCCCGAUACUGACGCUGAGGCGCGAAAGCGUGGGGAGCAAACAGG
rnacentral:misc_RNA from 1 species